rnacentral:rRNA from 1 species
GACGAACGCUGGCGGCGUGCCUAAUACAUGCAAGUUGAGCGCUGAAGGUUGGUACUUGUACCGACUGGAUGAGCAGCGAACGGGUGAGUAACGCGUGGGGAAUCUGCCUUUGAGCGGGGGACAACAUUUGGAAACGAAUGCUAAUACCGCAUAAAAACUUUAAACACAAGUUUUAAGUUUGAAAGAUGCAAUUGCAUCACUCAAAGAUGAUCCCGCGUUGUAUUAGCUAGUUGGUGAGGUAAAGGCUCACCAAGGCGAUGAUACAUAGCCGACCUGAGAGGGUGAUCGGCCACAUUGGGACUGAGACACGGCCCAAACUCCUACGGGAGGCAGCAGUAGGGAAUCUUCGGCAAUGGACGAAAGUCUGACCGAGCAACGCCGCGUGAGUGAAGAAGGUUUUCGGAUCGUAAAACUCUGUUGGUAGAGAAGAACGUUGGUGAGAGUGGAAAGCUCAUCAAGUGGCGGUAACUACCCAGAAAGGGACGGCUAACUACGU